GAGGAAUAUUGGUCAAUGGACGCAAGUCUGAACCAGCCAAGUCGCGUGAAGGACGACGGCCCUACGGGUUGUAAACUUCUUUUGCAAGGGAAUAAAGUGGCCCACGUGUGGGCUUUUGCAUGUACCUUGCGAAUAAGGAUCGGCUAACUCCGUGCCAGCAGCCGCGGUAAUACGGAGGAUCCGAGCGUUAUCCGGAUUUAUUGGGUUUAAAGGGUGCGCAGGCGGGAUGUUAAGUCGGCGGUGAAAUUUUGCGGCUCAACCGUAAAAGUGCCUUCGAAACUGGCAUCCUUGAGUAUGGAUGAAGUAGGCGGAAUUCGUGGUGUAGCGGUGAAAUGCAUAGAUAUCACGAAGAACCCCGAUUGCGCAGGCAGCUUACUAAACCAUAACUGACGCUCAUGCACGAAGGCGUGGGGAUCAAAC
rnacentral:rRNA from 1 species